rnacentral:rRNA from 1 species
AAACUCCUACGGGGGCAGCAGUGGGGAAUAUUGGGCAAUGGGCGCAAGCCUGACCCAGCAACGCCGCGUGAAGGAAGAAGGCUUUCGGGUUGUAAACUUCUUUUCUCAGGGACGAAGAAAAUGACGGUACCCAAGGAAGAAGCCCCGGCUAACUACGUGCCAGCAGCCGCGGUAAUACGUAGGGGGCAAGCGUUAUCCGGAUUUACUGGGUGUAAAGGGAGCGUAGACGGCUGAGCAAGUCUGAAGUGAAAGGCGAGGGCCCAACCCCCGGACUGCUUUGGAAACUGUAUAGCUAGAGUGCAGGG